CAGACACACAAUGCUGGAGUAACUCAGUGGGACAUGCAACAUCUCUGGAGCACGUAGAUCUGUGCACUUUCAGUCUGUAUUAGUAAACCAUCAUCUGCAGUUCCUUGUAUUGGAAAAGGAGCCUUCACACUUAUUAACCGAGGCGGGAUCUGUGAGGGAAUAUAAAGACCUCUCCCUGUCACCAGCCUCACUCACAUUGACACAGGAGCGGCAGAGAUGAUGAAGACAACCUCCUGCUUCCUGUUCGCAGUUCUCACUGUCCUCCUUCUGGUCCAUUCCAUCGACUGUGAGGAGGAGCUCACUUUCUGCAAGACGGUGUACGGAGCGUGCAGAGAAGAGCCAUGCUAUGAGCACGAGGUCGAAAAACCUGGUGACUGCGAUAUCCACAAGUGUUGUGAGGUUAUUCCCAUCUCAUAGAAGGGGCAAGAUGUCUGGAAGAUUCUCCAGGACUCCAGCAGUGGGCUCCUCGCCAACUUGUGAUGUCACUGUCCACAAUGUGUGAUUAAAGCCUGCUUCCCCACCAUCCCCUUGUCCUCGUCUUGAUUCCCAUUAGACUUGGAAGGCGGAACAGUACGGCACAGGAACAGGCCCUUCGGCCUGCGCUGUCCAUGGUGAACGCGAUCCCAAGGUAAACCAAUCUACUCUGCCCGCAUGUGGACCAUGUCCCUCCAUUCCCUCCUGUCUCCAUUAAUAGCCUGUGGAACACCUCUGUGGUAUCUGCCUCCACCACUGACGGGCCAGUUGUGUUCAUCACAGCUUUGAUCUGGACCUUUAAGAGCCUGUCCCACGAGCAUGCGACUCCAUGCGGCAAGCGCGAUCUAACGUGGUCGCUUGAGCCGUACGGCCUCGCAGGGCCGGUCCCACUUCGAUCGCCGGAGCCGUAUGGAGUUGUGCGGAGCUGUUCCCGACAUCGCGCGGGGCUCCGAAAAACUGACCGUGUUCAAAAAUUCCGUGCGACA